UACGUAGGGUGCAAGCGUUGUCCGGAAUUAUUGGGCGUAAAGAGCUCGUAGGCGGUUUGUCGCGUCGAAUGUGAAAACUCGGAGCUCAACUCCGAGCCUGCGUUCGAUACUGGACGGCUAGAGUCUGGUAGGGGGAUCUGGAAUUCCUGGUGUAGCGGUGGAAUGCGCAGAUAUCAGGAGGAACACCGGUGGCGAAGGCGGGAUCCUGGGCCAGUACUGACGCUGAGGAGCGAAAGCGUGGGGAGCAAACAGG
rnacentral:rRNA from 1 species